rnacentral:sRNA from 1 species
AUGUCUCCGACGCCGCCGCUCUUCAGUUUGCCCGAAGCGCGGACGCGGUUUACGAAGUCUACCAGAGAGGCCUUGAACAACAAAAACAUCAAGCCAUUGUUAAGUACCUUCAGCCAGGUACCUGGCAGUGAAAAUGAAAAAAAAUGUACCCUUGACCAAGCUUUCAGAGGUAUUCUAGAAGAAGAAAUUAUAAAUCAUUCAUCAUGUGAAAACGUUUUAGCUAUUAUUUCUCUUGCUAUUGGGGGAGUAACUGAAGGUAUUUGUACCGCAUCUACACCUUUUGUAUUGUUGGGAGAUGUUUUGGAUUGUCUUCCUUUGGAUCAGUGUGACACAAUAUUCACUUUUGUGGAAAAAAAUGUUGCUACUUGGAAAUCAAAUACAUUCUAUUCUGCUGGGAAAAAUUACUUACUACGUAUGUGCAAUGAUCUCCUAAGAAGAUUGUCUAAAUCCCAGAAUACAGUCUUCUGUGGACGGAUUCAGCUCUUUUUGGCCAGGCUUUUCCCUCUGUCUGAGAAAUCAGGUCUUAACUUGCAGAGUCAGUUUAAUCUGGAAAAUGUCACUGUUUUCAAUACGAAUGAGCAGGAAAGCACCCUGGGUCAGAAGCACACUGAAGAUAGAGAAGAAGGAAUGGAUGUAGAAGAAGGCGAAAUGGGAGAUGAGGAAGCUCCAACAACGUGCUCUAUUCCAAUUGAUUACAACCUGUAUCGAAAAUUCUGGUCACUUCAGGAUUACUUCAGGAACCCUGUGCAAUGCUAUGAGAAGAUUUCAUGGAAAACUUUUCUCAAGUAUUCUGAAGAAGUUUUAGCUGUUUUUAAGAGUUAUAAAUUAGAUGAUACUCAGGCCUCAAGAAAAAAGAUGGAAGAAUUGAAAACAGGAGGAGAACAUGUAUAUUUUGCAAAAUUUUUAACAAGUGAAAAGCUGAUGGAUUUACAACUGAGUGACAGUAACUUUCGUCGACACAUCCUGUUGCAGUAUCUCAUUUUAUUCCAAUAUCUCAAGGGGCAGGUCAAAUUCAAAAGUUCAAACUAUGUUUUAACUGAUGAGCAAUCACUUUGGAUUGAAGAUACUACAAAAUCAGUUUAUCAAGUAAGUUCAACACGCAACAAACCCAUGAUUGAAAAAAUGGAAAUAUAGGAUUUUCUUUGUUUCAGCCCCAAAUAGGAAAAUAAGGAUAAAGUUAAGCUCAGGUACAAGACCACAAACACUCCUUGGUUCUCUGCCUACAAACCACUCCUAUGAUGCAGAAAGUUGUUGAAAGCUUAGUAUAUUCUUUCUAAUCACAGCUACUAUCUGAAAACCCCCCCGAUGGAGAAAGAUUUUCAAAGAUGGUAGAGCAUAUAUUAAACACUGAAGAAAACUGGAACUCGUGGAAAAAUGAAGGUUGCCCAAGUUUUGUGAAACAUCAGAUACCAAACCUACGAGAAUAAUUCGGAAGAGAACAGCACCCGAGGACUUCCUAGGGAAAGGACCCAGCAAAAAAAUUCUGAUGGGAAAUGAGGAGUUAACAAGGCUUUGGAAUCUUUGUCCUGAUAAUAUGGAAGCCUGUAAAUCAGAGACAAGGGAAUACAUGCCCACUUUGGAGGAAUUCUUUGAAGAAGCCAUUGAACAGGCAGACCCUGAAAAUAUGGUUGAAAAUGAAUAUAAGGCUGUGAACAAUUCAAAUUAUGGUUGGAGAGCCCUGAGACUAUUAGCACGGAGAAGCCCUCACUUCUUCCAGCCAACCAACCAGCAGUUUAAAAGUUUACCAGAAUAUCUUGAAAAUAUGGUAAUAAAGCUAGCCAAGGAAUUACCGCCUCCUUCUGAAGAAAUAAAAACAGGUGAGGAUGAAGAUGAGGAAGAUAAUGAUGCUUUACUGAAGGAAAAUGAAAGUCCUGAUGUUCGGCGAGACAAACCUGUAACAGGAGAACAAAUAGAGGUAUUUGCCAACAAGCUGGGUGAACAAUGGAAGAUUCUGGCUCCCUACUUGGAAAUGAAAGACUCAGAAAUUAGGCAGAUUGAGUGUGACAGUGAAGACAUGAAGAUGAGAGCUAAGCAGCUUCUGGUUGCCUGGCAAGAUCAAGAGGGAGUUCAUGCAACACCUGAGAAUCUGAUUAAUGCACUGAAUAAGUCUGGAUUAAGUGACCUUGCAGAAAGUCUAACUAAUGACAAUGAGACAAAUAGUUAGCUUCUUUUUUUUUCUUUUUAUUAAAACUGUGAUAGAUUUUGUUACCAAGCAGCAUUUGAUAAGAGGUCCACUGGUUUUGGUAAACAAUAAACAUUUUUAUAACAA